CCUUUUGUAUAAUGGGUCAGCGACUUAUAUUCUGUAGCAAGGUUAACCGAAUAGGGGAGCCGGAGGGAAACCGAGUCUUAAUUGGGCGUUAAGUUGCAGGGUAUAGACCCGAAACCCGGUGAUCUAGCCAUGGGCAGGUUGAAGGUUGGGUAACACUAACUGGAGGACCGAACCGACUAAUGUUGAAAAAUUAGCGGAUGACCUGUGGCUGGGGGUGAAAGGCCAAUCAAACCGGGAGAUAGCUGGUUCUCCCCGAAAGCUAUUUAGGUAGCGCCUCGUGAAUUCAUCUCCGGGGGUAGAGCACUGUUUCGGCUAGGGGGCCAUCCCGGCUUACCAACCCGAUGCAAACUGCGAAUACCGGAGAAUGUUAUCACGGGAGACACACGGCGGGUGCUAACGUCCGUCGUGAAGAGGGAAACAACCCAGACCGCCAGCUAAGGUCCCAAAGUCAUGGUUAAGUGGGAAACGAUGUGGGAAGGCCCAGACAGCCAGGAUGUUGGCUUAGAAGCAGCCAUCAUUUAAAGAAAGCGUAAUAGCUCACUGGUCGAGUCGGCCUGCGCGGAAGAUGUAACGGGGCUAAACCAU
rnacentral:rRNA from 1 species